rnacentral:lncRNA from 1 species
CUCAGGGACCCUGUGGUCGAAGUCACCGGCGGCGAAACCCAGAGCGGUCAGGACCCAGCAGCGGAGACCACGGUGGCUUCACAGAGCAGCUUGCCCGGGGACUUGGAUCCUGCACAUUGUCACCGGGAGGUGCCUCCAGGGCUGGAGGCUUCUCAGCCACAGGCGGACACCUGGCUGGACCCCGCAUGCCAUUUGGGGACCAGGCACCAGUGAAUAGCGUCCUCCUCCAUUCAGGUCUGCGGGGACCUGGUGUGGGAACAGGGUCUCUGCAGAGGUGGUCAGUGCAGGGUACUGAGAUGGGCUCCUCCUGGGUCAGGGGGCCCUCGUGCCACGGCCGUGUCCUCCUAAAGGACAGAGGAGGGGACACAGACCCAGAGGAGGAGCCCCGUGGAGACGGAGGCAGAGACUGCACUGAGGGGCCACCAGCCCAGGGCCACCUGGAGCCCAGGAGCUGAACAGGCAGGAGGAGCCCCCUGGAGCCCUGGAGGGGGCUCAGCCGGGGACCCUGGUCCAGCCUCUGCCCCCCAGGGACACAUCAGCCCCUUGGACACUGAAGGUUCCCAAAGCCACAUCUCUGACAGGCCACCAUCUCCAUCCUGUGACAGACCCCGCACCUCCCGCUCCUCCCGAGGAUGAUCCCGUGGGUCCCAGAGCGUGGGCCCGCGGCGGCUUUUUCUGGCUGUCCCCGAGCAGAACCUAGAAAGUGACACUGAGUCAGACACGUCGAGGGUGGAAACCCUGAGCCAGCAAAAUGGUCCCUGCGCGGGCUGUGGGCGUUUCGGAGGCAAAGAAAAAAAAAUCUACGAAAAACCUCAAACCACCAGCUCAGAGCCGAGCCCAGGAGCCUCAGGUCCUGCGUCCUGCGGAGAUUUCGAGACCUGGUGACAUCAGCAAAUCUCUGCAGCUUGUGUCUGUCCCCUGGAGCACACCAGACCUGCAGCCCCCGUGGACAGAGGGACAGGGCAGAGCCAGCUUUUCUCCGGAUGCUCUGGGCUGCCUACCCCCCUUUGCCCUGCCUAGGAGCCACGUCCAGGACCCCGAUGUGACUUAGGCUCUGGAGUCUGUGGCUCCUGCCACCUGAGCCAUGCUCUGUGACGUGUGUGUCCCACGACCCGAGUUCGAGGGUCGACGUGGCUUUGCGUUGAGCAUUUUAAUCCUGUUGACGCGCUGUGUGUGUUUUCUGGAAUCUCGUCCCCUCGGUCCCCGGGCCUGAGGCUCGGACACCCCAAAGGAUAGAGGGGUGUCCACAGCUGCAGAGACUCGGUCCCCGUCCCUCUGUCACUUGUGGACAGUGGAAUUUUCAUUGCUCUCCCGUGCAUCCAAGAUGGACCAGGACCGCCUCUCGGGCAGGAAUGAGGACAGGGGACACCGAGGAGGGCCACCGGUUGAACGAGGGUCGUUAGCUUGUCCUUCAGUGCAGGACGUCAGGACCCCAGGAGAGUCCCCAUCGGUGAGCUUUGCCCAUGGGUCAGAGGGGUCACCCCCAGGGACAGGCACGGGGCCAUCUUUCAAAGGAAGCAGAGGUGCCCAAGAGACCCAAAGGGACAUCAUGUCCGCCGUCCCAGAUCCCAAGAGUGGUGAUGCUAGGCUGGUGCAGAAGCCAACCCCAGCGCCCCCCCGGGGAGUCCUGGGCUGGACUUUGGUUCUGAUCUAAAGUCCAUGGACCAGUGUGUCCCGGAGGCCGCCAAGACCCUCCGCCAUUUUGGAUUUUCUCUGGAGAAAUGGGAAGAUUUCUCUCCCGGGGACGAGGACAAAGAUCCAAGCCACCGGGCUCUCCUCCUCCUCCGCACCCCUGGGCUCGGGGGUUGGGCACUUGGAGUGGCCGGGAUGCCCCAGCCCCAGGUCAGCAGCAGGGGACGGCCAAGAGGGCACCUCCAGGAUCUGCUCUGGGAGGCUGUGGACACCGUGGUGAGGGCACUUCAUGAGGUGGGGCACGUGGCUUCAGGUCCCCCCGCCCUGACCCUCAGGCAGAUCUGACCUCCCAGAGUGCCCGCCCGUGGCCCCGCGGUCACUAAGAUUCCCACCCCGUGCCCCACAACAGGAAUCCUCCCGAAGCCUUAGCAAAAGCAGAUGCGCUGACCCUCAUCCCCAGUCUCCCCUCCCUGGCUGCUGGGACCCACCUGUCUGUCCCCCACCUAUUGUUCCCUUCAGGGGGCUGGAAAGGACAGAAUCCCCUUCCACUGGACGGCAGGACUGUCUUGUGCAUUUCAGCCACAACAGGGGGUCCGGAAUGUCCUCUGCACAAAUGACCUAUAGUUGAGAGGAUGGAAGGGUAGCUGUCCUGUGUGUCCUGAUGACAGAGUGCACAUGUGCGUGCCUGGAUGGAGGCACCGCUCGGGACCCCGUGAAUACGCACGGUGAGCCCACGGCACGACUCAGGGUCCCUCCGGGUGGGUUUUCAGGAAGGUGGACUUCAGGACUGGCUGGCUCAAGGAAACAGAGCCACAGGAAGGACGACUGGACGGGAACUCAGGUGGGUCUCCUCCCUCAAAGCCAGGAGGGUGCACUGCUCUGGUGGCCUCCCCCGAGAUACGUCCACCCUAAAGCCACAAUUAUGUUCCAGCUGUAUAUCUUUUUACAUGUUGAAUAUUAAACACCAUGG